rnacentral:tRNA from 1 species
GGGGAUGUAGCUCAGUGGUUGAGCGUCCUCCGCUUUCGCAUGCGGAAGGCCCGAGGUUCGAUCCCCCGCAUCUCCA